rnacentral:rRNA from 1 species
GACGAACGCUGGCGGCGUGCUUAACACAUGCCAGUCGUACGGUAAGGCCCUUUCGGGGGUACACGAGUGGCGAACGGGUGAGUAACACGUGAGUAACCUGCCCACAACUUUGGGAUAACGCUAGGAAACUGGUGCUAAUACUGGAUAUGUGCUCCUGCUGCAUGGUGGGGGUUGGAAAGCUCCGGCGGUUGUGGAUGGACUCGCGGCCUAUCAGCUUGUUGGUGGGGUAGUGGCCUACCAAGGCGGCGACGGGUAGCCGGCCUGAGAGGGUGACCCGCCACAUUGGGACUGAGAUACGGCCCAGACUCCUACGGGAGGCAGCAGUGGGGAAUAUUGCACAAUGGGCGCAAGCCUGAUGCAGCAACGCCGCGUGCGGGAUGACGGCCUUCGGGUUGUAAACCGCGUUCAGCAGGGACGAAGCUUUUUGUGACGGUACCUGCAGAAGAAGCACCGGCUAACUACGUG